rnacentral:rRNA from 1 species
UCGGUGCUUUGCAUCGGGUGAGCGAGCGUAUUCAAUAAGUCAUAACGACUCUGGGCAACGGAUAUCUCGGCUCUUGCAUCGAUGAAGAACGUAGCAAAAUGCGAUACGUAGUGUGAAUUGCAGGAUCCCGUGAACCAUCGAGUUUUUGAACGCAAGUUGCGCCCGAAGCCUUUAGGCCAAGGGCACGCCUGCCUGGGUGUCACGCAUACGUCGCCCCAUCCUCUCGACACCUCGGGAGUCAUGGGAGCAGAAGUUGGCCUCCUGUGUGCCUUGCGCAUGUGGUUGGCCCAAAAUGCAUGUUCGCGGCAAAUGAUAGCCAUGACGAUCGGUGGUUGUAAAGACCCUCUGAAAAAGUCGUGCGCUGUUCUUAGACGUCGGGACAUUCCUUGACCCUAGGGCGUCCUCAGGGCGCGCUCCGACCGCGACCCCAGGUCAGGCGGGACUACCCGCUGAG